UGAAAAGGAACAUCUGGGUUCUCUGAAGACUUUUAAAGAGGAACAUCCAGAGCUGCCAGCAUCACCAGUCUAUUUGUGUGUCCCAGGAAUCCACCACUCACAACAACAACAAAAGUGUUUACAAGGUAAACAAGCCUUGGACAAAGGCAGAGACAGGGAGACUGCAACAAAGGCAUUUGUGAAAUAGGAACAGUUGACAGAAACAGAUUAUCUGUCAUUUAUAAUAAGACUGCCUACAGUUUGGACCAUAAAGCAAUUCCCUCUUUUUUUGUUCUUUGUGUUUCAAGUAGUCCUCAGCUUAAAUACCCAGGAAGCAAUAGAUUUUCUAACAUAGGAGUUUGUCUGCGUUCAUAUCCUUAGUCCGGAGAUGUCCUCAUCAUGGUAACAUAGGAGAUCUUGCCAAAAUGAUCUGUUGUUUGGGAUAAAAGAAAACUAUUGUAUUUACAGAUACAGUACAGUAUGUACAUAAUCAUAAUGCUGUAAUUGUUUUAUUUGACUUAUUUUAACAGUGUAAUAAUCAUUGUUAUGAUUAUAAUUUAUGAAGAAGAUAAAAUGGGGUGGGGGCAGAAAUCAACAUGUUUUUUUUCGAUGUGUUUGUUUUGAUUUGAUGAAGGUGGUAUAGGUUACAGACUUGAGUCCUGGAGGUCUGAGGUGAUGGGAGAUCAUAUGCUGCCUAUGUAACCAGGAUGUAGUCUUGUUGUGGGAAUAACUGCAGUUUUGUCCAGCCUAUUGUUAGCCAUUUAUCCGUCAUGAAGCUCGUCUCACUCCUGGUCUGCCUGAUUGUCACCCACCAAAAGGCCAUGGAAAAGAAAAUGCUCUUAGAAUAUUUUGUUCAGAAGGAAAAAAGAGAAGAUUAUAUUAGAAUGGUUUUAAUUUCAGUACCUGCAGGCAUGUUUGAUUAAUGCAGGCAUGUUUGAUUAAAGUUAUUUUCUUCUGUGUGUUGUCAUAAACAUAUUGUUGUUAUAUUGGGCAGCAGGAUGUUAGUGACCAAUGUGUUUUGGUUUUGAAAAACCAAGCUUAAAAUAUGUUAUGAUAUUUCAUUCUGGCUGGAUAAUUGUUAACAAGUAAUGUGUUUACUAACUCAGUCUGUACUACUGUCUGCACUACUGAGAUUUCAUGAAGAACUCCGACAUUUUGAAGUUAGCAGAGACAUUUCUGACAGUUUUGACUGUACAGUAGUAAGUAGCUAGUGUAAAAUCUGGCAUCUGAGUGUGUGGUUGUACAUGCAGCAUUGAUGUGCACACAUGCGUGAGUGAGUGAAUGAAAUAAUGGGAUGAUUUGCUGUAAAAAAGUAGAAUUAAGACAUAACGUUUCAAAUCCUGACGUAUCCAUAUGCUGACAUAUCAACUAAAUCAGCUCCAGUUAAUAGCCAUAGUCAUAAUUUUAGUAACACAUUUUGUCCUAAUAUAUCCUCACAUGUCCCAUACACAUAACUGUACAUUGGAGGAAGCCAUUGAUUAUGAGAGAGAAAGGCAGUGCAUUCACCAUUCAUUUGGAUCUCUUUGAUUUAUAUAAUUAGUGCUCAAUGUGCACUGCUCUGCUCCGUUGUGCCUCCGCGUUAUAGCUUUUAUUCAGCACAUAUGCCGUGGAUUUCAAUGUGUCAGUGGAAUUUCUGUAAGGAGACUUACUGGGGUGCUGUAGUCUCCCUCGCCUUUUGAGAAAACAGAUCUGUCAUUAAGGCACCUAUUUUGAGACCAAUACAUGAACGUAGAGUUUGGUAUCGCAAUUCAUGCUACUAUUAGCCUGUGUGGGAGAUCUCGUCUGCUAAGCCCAAUUCAUUUUUGCAAUCAUACGAGACAGACAGACAAAUGCUUAGUCAAUAACCCUCACUCUGACUUAGCUCUGUCAACAAUAGCAAAAUAACUCAUUUUCAGCUUUUCUGUUCCAGUUCUGUGUAAAAUGAAGUCUACUGUAUUUACGGAGAUGAAUACCCUCAUCUGAAGGAAAUUAUAUUAGUAGUAGCAAAGUGGUAUCUAUACUUGUAGAAGGAGGACACUUUCAAAAUUCACUGUCAUGUUAUAUGACUCAUAUAUAGAUAAUAUCUCUCAAGGCACUAUGCUAUGCUGUGUAUCGUUCAUUUGCAAGAUGUCCUUUGUAUUUUCAAAUAACUGCCAAACAGUUUGUAACCAUCUGUUGUCCUAACUGUAACUACUGUAUGUAUCAACAUGUCACUAAUCCAGAACAGGAUUUAAUUUGGAGGGGCUUGCACUUUCAGUUUCUUUUGGUUUUACUCCAGACUGCCCACUGUGAUGC
rnacentral:lncRNA from 1 species